AUUGAACGCUGGCGGCAGGCUUAACACAUGCAAGUCGAGCGGAGCGAGGGUGCUUGCACCUUAGCUUAGCGGCGGACGGGUGAGUAAUGCUUAGGAAUCUGCCUAUUAGUGGGGGACAACAUUCCGAAAGGAAUGCUAAUACCGCAUACGCCCUACGGGGGAAAGCAGGGGAUCUUCGGACCUUGCGCUAAUAGAUGAGCCUAAGUCGGAUUAGCUAGUUGGUGGGGUAAAGGCCUACCAAGGCGACGAUCUGUAGCGGGUCUGAGAGGAUGGUCCGCCACACUGGGACUGAGACACGGCCCAGAAGCCUACGGGAGGCAGCAGUGGGGAAUAUUGGACAAUGGGCGGAAGCCUGAUCCAGCCAUGCCGCGUGUGUGAAGAAGGCCUUUUGGUUGUAAAGCACUUUAAGCGAGGAGGAGGCUCUUAAGGUUAAUACCCUUGAUGAGUGGACGUUACUCGCAGAAUAAGCACCGGCUAACUCUGUGCCAGCCGCCGCAGUAA
rnacentral:rRNA from 1 species